GGAGGAUUACCCAAGUGGCUGAAGGGAACGGUCUUGAAAACCGUCAGGCGGGUAACACCGCGCGAGAGUUCGAAUCUCUCAUCCUCCU
rnacentral:tRNA from 2 species